UGGGGAAUUUUGGACAAUGGGGGAAACCCUGAUCCAGCCAUCCCGCGUGUGCGAUGAAGGCCUUCGGGUGUAAAGCACUUUUGGCAGGAAAGAAACGUCGCGGGUUAAUACCCCGCGAAACUGACGGUACCUGCAGAAUAAGCACCGGCUAACUACGUGCCAGCAGCCGCGGUAAUACGUAGGGUGCAAGCGUUAAUCGGAAUUACUGGGCGUAAAGCGUGCGCAGGCGGUUCGGAAAGAAAGAUGUGAAAUCCCAGAGCUUAACUUUGGAACUGCAUUUUUAACUACCGGGCUAGAGUGUGUCAGAGGGAGGUGGAAUUCCGCGUGUAGCAGUGAAAUGCGUAGAUAUGCGGAGGAACACCGAUGGCGAAGGCAGCCUCCUGGGAUAACACUGACGCUCAUGCACGAAAGCGUGGGGAGCAAACAGGAUUAGAUACCCUGGUAGUCCACGCCCUAAACGAUGUCAAUUAGCUGUUGGGGCCUUCGGGCCUUGGUAGCGCAGCUAACGCGUGAAGUUGACCGCCUGGGGAGUACGGUCGCAAGAUUAAAACUUAAAGGAAUUGACGGGGGUGCAUAGCU
rnacentral:rRNA from 1 species